UACCACCUUUUACUAAAAAUGCAUCUUAAUUGAUGCACCUUCUUCUGUAAAUAUUUUUUCACUAAUGAAAUUGGGUGGUUCUACCUCCCACUUCAUCGAAAAAAGAAAAACAACAAGUAUCAUAAUUAUUAUAAUAAGAUGAAUGACCCAUGAGCACUUAAACCAUUCCAACAAUGUCCCGUUGUUAUGUAGGGAAGCACUUGAACUUUAUGAGAUUUGUCACUGUUAGAAAAUAGGCUGAUUCGCAUACAUAGAUCGAUACGGUUAUAGUAACCAUAGUGGA
rnacentral:lncRNA from 1 species